GACGAACGCUGGCGGCGUGCCUAACACAUGCAAGUCGAACGAGACCUUCGGGUCUAGUGGCGCACGGGUGCGUAACGCGUGGGAACCUGCCUUUAGGUUCGGAAUAACUCAGAGAAAUUUGAGCUAAUACCGGAUGAUGUCUUCGGACCAAAGAUUUAUCGCCUUUAGAUGGGCCCGCGUUGGAUUAGCUAGUUGGUGGGUAAAGGCCUACCAAGGCGACGAUCCAUAGCUGGUCUGAGAGGACGAUCAGCCGACACUGGGACUGAGACACGGCCCAGACUCCUACGGAGGCAGCAGUGGGGAAUAUUGGACAAUGGGCGAAAGCCUGAUCCAGCAAUGCCGCGUGAGUG
rnacentral:rRNA from 1 species